AGAUUGAACGCUGGCGGCAUGCCUUACACAUGCAAGUCGAACGGCAGCACGGGAGCAAUCCUGGUGGCGAGUGGCGAACGGGUGAGUAAUACAUCGGAACGUGCCCAAUCGUGGGGGAUAACGCAGCGAAAGCUGUGCUAAUACCGCAUAAGAUCUACGGAUGAAAGCAGGGGAUCGCAAGACCUUGCGCGAAUGGAGCGGCCGAUGGCAGAUUAGGUAGUUGGUGAGGUAAGGCCUCAACCAAGCCUUAGACUCGUAGUAGCGUGGUCGUG
rnacentral:rRNA from 1 species